UGGAGAUUUUAUAAGGUGGUGAAGUGAACCAUUGAAUGGAUAGCUUUGAAAAUCAAAUGAAGAAAUCCACGCCUACUUUCAUAAGAAAUUCAUUCCAAAAGUCAUAUAAAAUUAAAUGUUAAAUCUUUCUACAAAGUCAAUUGAUUUGGUGUCAUCAAGUAACAAUAAAUCAUCACAACAUACGUACGUGAGAAUAUUAGUUGAAGAACCUGAUUUAGAAUCUGUAAAAGUGAGAAUACUGACCUGAAAAUGCAAGAAUACUUACUUGGAAUGGUGAGAAUACUGACCUGAAAAUGCAAGAAUACUUACUUGGAAUGGUGAGAAUACUGAUGUACACAUAAAUAAAGGUGACAAUACUGGAUUCAUGAAUUAAUUAGGUCCAUGUGAUUAAUUUUUUAUAACAACAAUUAGACGAAAGAACUCGAUUAAAAAGACGAAUACAAGUUGAAGAACUCAGCGAAAAUGCAGGGCUACAAUAUGAAGUAAAAUUUAGUUUGAGAGAGAAAGUAGUAAAAUUAGGGGGAAAGUAAACCUAUAAACAGCUGAGAGGUGGUGUGAUGGUUCCAUUUACAAGUGAGUGGAGUUGAAAGGAAGAGAAGGGGUUUUGCGAAGGUGGCAUGGAGGAGGAGGAAGAAGCCCCAGACGUUAUAUGCUAGCUGGAAAACGUUCAAGGGCCGUUCGGUGGAAGCGCCAGCAGAAUGCGGUUGCCUCCAAGCCAAGGUUUAUCUCAAAUGAUAGAUCUGUAGAUUCUCUGGAUGCCAGUAUUUGUGCAGAGAUCAGGACAAAGAUUCCAGAUACAAUUGCAUGGGACUACAAUUUUGAACCUGCAGGGGCAAACCCUUUAACCUUUACUGUUAAAUCUGCAGCUCUAAAGGAAGCUAUUGAGGAUCUUGAAUGGCCUGGAUCAAGCAUCCAGAUUAUUCUAGAGCCAGAGCUUCCUUCUGUUACAUUAAGAAAAUAAGAGAUCAACAGGUGCAACACUUGUUUUAUUUAAUUCUAAAGCCAGAGCCUCCAGAUUAUUCUACACCAAGUUUGUACUGUGUUGUUUUUAACUCAAAUGAUCAGAUGCUGGUUGCUUUGAAAUUUAAACUGACUAUGUACACAUUUUGUUUUUCAGAUAGACUUCAUGUAUUAUGUGAAUUCUGAACUCUUGGUGGCAUUUCAGUGUGAUCAUUGAGCUUCUUUCAAGUACAAAUAUAAGUUCCUCAGAGCAACAACUUCUAAUAUGCCUAGCAGUGUUAUUAAAGAAAAUAGAGGAAGUAAGUUAAGCAUUGGGAGAGGUGGAAUGUUAAAAGUUCAGCAUCUGGUUUCAAUUGCCAAACCAUCUGUGUCACACACAUGUUGAUUCAGUUGGCUAUCAGCAACCAGGUAGAAUAGCUCAUAUUGAAUUCUUUGUGAAACCAGAGGAAAGUGAGGACUAAACGAAUGAUUAUUAGUUAUUAUAAAGGUUCUGUCAAGUUUUUCUAUGCAAACCAUUAACUUUGCAUAAGAAGAUAGUCUUCCUCUAGGAGCUCUUGAAAAAUAUUACAAAUUGGUUUGUAUUCAUAAUCGUUUAAUCUGAGUUUUAGACGGAACGAGCUUGGUAAGGCCACCGAAACUUCAAAUAGAAUCGUGGCAAUGUUGCUCAGAUUUUGAAAUUUUUUUAUGCAUAGUUCAGUUGGUUUAUAAUGCUUUAUGUGGGAGAUAGGAGGUGUUGUUAGGAAUUAACUUGUACGUGUGUACGGUUGGGAUGACUUCUUUCAACCUGAGGUUUAAAUA